rnacentral:rRNA from 1 species
UACGGGGGGAGCAAGCGUUGUUCGGAUUUACUGGGCGUAAAGGGCGCGUAGGCGGUCGUGACAAGUCACUUGUGAAAUCUCCGGGCUUAACUCGGAACGGUCAAGUGAUACUGUCGGACUAGAGUACAGAAGGGGCAACUGGAAUUCUCGGUGUAGCGGUGAAAUGCGCAGAUAUCAGGAGGAACACCGGUGGCGAAGGCGGUUCUCUGGGCCUUACCUGACACUGAGGAGCGAAAGCGUGGGGAGCGAACAGG